CUUGGUCAUUUAGAGGAAGUAAAGUCGUAACAAGGUCUCCGUAGGUGAACCUGCGGAGGGAUCAUUACCGAUUCAUGCCCUUACGGGUAGAUCUCCCACCCUAUGUUAUAUUACCUUUGUGCUUUGGCGGGCCGACAGGCUUCGGUCAGUCUACCGGCUCCGGCUGGUAGCGCCCGCCAGAGGACCCCAAACUCUGAAUUUUAGUGUCGUCUGAGUACAUCUAAUAGUUAAAACUUUCAACAACGGGUCUCUUGGUUCUGGCAUCGAGAAGAACGCAGCGAAAUGCGAUAAGUAAUGUGAAUUGCAGAAUUCAGUGAUCAUCGAAUCUUUGAACGCACAUUGCGCCCCUUGGUAUUCCGAGGGGCCGCCUGUUCGAGCGUCAUUACAACCCUCAAGCUCUGCUUGAUAUUGGGCCCGCGGCUUACCCCGCGGGCCUUAAAAUCAGUGGCGGCGUCUUUCAGGCCUGAACGUAGUAAAUAUUCCUCGUUACGGAGUCCUGGCGGCGGUAGUCACAACCCCCAACUUUCUAAGUUUGACCUCGGAUCAGGUAGGGAUACCCGCGAACUUAAGCAUAUCAAUAAGCGGAGGAA
rnacentral:rRNA from 1 species